ACAAAAAUCACCUUUCGCCCUCUCAGAGUUCACGGUCUAGAAAAGGAAACGAACGGGGGCAACUACAGUGCAGAACCAAGAGGGUGUGGUAGUAGAGGUGACACCCGGUCCAGACCUGGGGAAGUCAGGGAAAGCUUCUUCAGCAGGCGACGUCUGAGAGACAUGAGCUACUAGCCAGGUGAAGGAGAGGGCCUGAGGAGGUAGACUGUCCCAGGUGGAGCCCCAGGGGAGAGGACGCCGACUGUGUUUGCAGACUGAAAUGUUGGAGCCAGAAGAACUUGCAGUGGGCAGCACAUCCCCGUCACACUCCAUGUCCAGGCCCCCGGGCACAUGCAGAAAGUUUGUGUGCACGGCUGGAUGUGUUCCUCUAGGUGCAGUGCUUCUCUGGUGAGGCUUUUCCUACCUCCCAUGUCCUGGACCUGCCUACUGCUGGAGGUGCUAAGAGGAUACUCACCAACGGUUCCCUCAGCCCUGCAGUUUUGAACAUCUACUAGGAGCCAGGGCCUCUUCAGGGUCCUUAAGAAUAAACUCAAGGUACUUCACUGGAUACCCACAGCCCUCCCCAGCUGAGUGGAACUCAACUUCACGCUCUGAAGAGAGAUCUGGGUUUGGAUUGACCUUGGAGGAGCCGGACUAUCAUGGGUGGAUGAACAGCCAGACUCUGGAACAGAGGCAGGGAGACGUGUGCUACACGGAGGUGGACGGAGUCACAGAAGUGCAACUUGAACCAGAGCAGGAAAACAUCAAGUUGAGCCCUAAUUAGGAGCUAUGGAUAGAACAUUGCCAGAGGGGGUAGCUGAAGCAACUUUUCUAACUCAGGUAAGUUUCUUAACAUUUGGUGGGAGGAAGAAGGAAACACACCAUUGGUCUGAAAUGUCAGGAAAGCCUGCUGGCUGUUUUGUUUCCUGCCCCUCGAGAAGGUAAAUUUGAGUCACCGAGCAGUCGGGUGGCUCAGGUGCCGCACAAUUGUAUGGGUAGCUUGAAAUCUGGACUCAACAGCCCCAAAGGCAGGUUGAUUCAGCU
rnacentral:lncRNA from 1 species